ncrna:Medicago truncatula miR5287a stem-loop (mtr-MIR5287a)
AUAUAAGCAAAAAUCUAAUUUUUUAGAUACAUUCAGUUAAUGAUGUAUGUGGUCUUUAUUAUAUGUUAUAUACAUCAUUAAUUGAAUAUAUUUAAAAAAUAUAUUUUUGCUUAUAU